CCCCUUUCUCUAUAGCAGCCGCCACCUCUACUCUCUCCUCUCCAUUCGCGCUGGCGAGAGCAGCCACCGGCGACGCCCGUCUACUCUUCUACGCUCCUCUCCCGUUGCUCUUUCUCUCUCCUCCCUCCUUCUCCUCUCUCACCCCUCUCUCCACUCGCGUCUCCUCAUCCCUAGCGAGAGCAGCAGCAGCUCCAGCGAGCUGCACCAGGCGGCGCCGCUUUUUUCUCCUCUCCUUUUUUCCCUCCUCUCCUUUCUCUCCUCCCCUCUCCUCCUUUGCUCCAUCCUCCCUUCUCUCUUUCUUUGCCGAUACAGCAGCGCCAAAUGAGCAGCAAGGACCAGCACCUCUAGUGCUCCGACAAACAGCAGCAGCAGACGAGAAUAAGCAGUGAACAACAAAUGAUGGACUGAGAGGGGAAAGUUUGCAAAGUCGUGAUCAAGAAGGAGGAGAAACGGGGCCCUAGUGGAAGCAAGGAGGCAAAGAUCAGCGUUAGCAACUGGACCUCGAAUCCAUCCCGACCUCGUCAAGAAUCUGGAGAGUAAAGCAACCUACGCAAAAACAGCUCCAAUAUCGCUCUAAGUACAACAAAUCGCAACUUGAAGGCAAGUUUUCCAACAAGAGGAAUGCCCAAGCUAUCGUUCGCCCUAAAGCAACUGUUGUGGUGGCAAAUUAUAUUCUGCACGAUAUUGCAUCAGUUGAACCUACGCUCGAUAUCUCAUUAUGCUCAAAGAAAUGCAUCAUUAUAUUAUCCUCCAGACCACAUAAAUGCAUCAUUUCAUGUGCUCGAUAUUGCAUGUGCCCAAUAUUGCAUGUGCCCGAUAAAAUGCAUCAUUGCAUGUGCUCAAAGAAAUGCAUCAUUGCAUUGUUCCCGAUAAUGCAUGUGCCCGAAGAAACGCAUCAUUUCAUGUGCCCGAUAUUACAUGUGCGUGAAGAAAUGCAUCAUUGCAUGUGCUCGAUAUUGCAUACGUAUGAAGAAUCGCGUUAGUUCAUGUUCCCAAAGAAAUGCAUCAUUGCAUUGUGCCCGAGACUGCAUUAUGCCCGAAGUUUACAUAAGCCCAAGAUUACAUCGUGCUCAAAGUUUGCAUGUGCCUGAAUCAAAUGAAGUCACAAGUAUCAACAGAUGCCAAAAACAGAUAGGCUCUCUUUACUCAUUACUUAUAUUCCAAACGCGUCAUACUCCAAAGGUAUCAUCUUUCAUGGCCUACGGACUUCAUGUCAUGGCCUGAGGACUUAUUUUAUGCAUAGAAUGUUCCUAAGGCAUCAUCCUCAUGGACUGCAGACAUAAUAUGAUGGCCUAAGGGUUUAGUUUCUGUCUAUCAUGAUCCGAAGGUGUCAUAGUUUAAAGGCGUCAUUUUCAUGUCCUACAGACAACAUUUACAUGACUUGAGGAUACACUUUGCAUAUCAUGGCUCUAGAAAUCAUAGCCUAAGAUGUCAUUUUUCGUGGUCUUAUGGCAAACAUUCAUGAUCAACAUGGGAAUUGCAUCAUGCUUACAUAUACCUCUUAAUUUUGAUAUAUUUGCUCUAAUCGCUUUAGUUAAGUCAUAUUACAAGUUACAGAUGUGCAGAUUACAGGUAAAAUCAAUCGCUCUCUGAACGACCGUUUUCACGCUUGCAAACAAAGGCUAUCAAAUUCUCGGCCACUCACAUUAUCAUUCGGCUACUCGGCUACCGUUCAGACUACCAUAGAGAUAUUGUCAGACUCAACUCGCUACUGUGACCAACUGUCUCUUCAUGUAAGCUUGUCUGCCUAACAAUAAGACAUAUAGGCUCGUCUUCCUUACAAUGUGAAAUCUAGGCUCGUCCGCCUUACAACGUGAUAUUUUCGCUCGUCUGUCUUACAAUGUGACAUCUAGACUCGUUCGCCUUACAACGCAAUAUUUAUGCUCACCCUCCUUAUAGGAUAUUUAGGCCCGUCCGCCUUAAAACGACAGUUAGGCUUGUCCAUCUUAAAGUAAAUUUAGGUCGUCUGCCUUAAAAGGAUAUUUAGGCCGUUCUCCUUAAAAUGACAUUGAGGCUCGUCCGCCUCAUAGGACAUUUAUGUUCGUCCGCUUUAUAAGAUAUUUAGGUCGUCCGCCUUUAAAUGAAACUUAGGCUCGUCCACCUUAAAAUGAAGUACAUCCACCUUACAACCAUAUAUUUUCCUGAUAUUAUUAUAUCUCUAUACUAUUAGAGGUUGACUUUAACCUUCGGAGAUGGGUUGCAAUUCUUCAACAGGUUAAGCUAAAGACUACCAAGGCUUGCACUACGUCUCAAAACGGAUACGCUUCUUAGCACCUCUUGUCAUUUAUUUAGAACUCAUAUUUUAUCAAUAUUGAUCAUACUUUAUCUAUUUAUAAGCUAAAAUUGUACCUAGUCAUAAUAGAAUUUGCAGAUAUGAUAGAUCGCCCUUUGAUUAAAAUUAUUAUGUUAUCAUAUAUCACAACAAAGACGCUAUUAAUUAUUUACUACUCAUACUCCAAACCUUGCUCAAAAGAUGAUAAUUUCACUCUAUCAUACUCUUCCUGCUUCUCUGUCAUAUCUCUUUUAGCCUCUCCAUCUCUCUCUUCUCGCUGCACUAAUCUUAUCCAUUCAAGCCAAUAUGGUGCCUUUCAAAUACCUUAGGGCUCUUUCAAAUUUUAAGAGUUUCAUUUUCUCUUGAAUCUAGAACUACACAUGGCCUGAUUCUCGUAUAAUCAGGAUAUGUAGGCGACCUAAUACCAAAAUCUCGGUCCUACACUUUUUCAACUCUAUAUCGUUUCAAUUGAUCCAACUGACAUCUCUCGUCGGUCGGACGAAAUUGGCUACUUAGUCAACGUUGGUUGUCUGACAAUUCAUUCUUCAUUCUCAAUCAAACAAGUGUUAUAAACUUCAUAAAGAUGAGUUGAUUAUUUUUUAUCAUGGCAUCACUGAUUUUUUUUCUCUACUUGAUUAUGUGUAUUGGCAAAAUAUCAUCGGGUAAUUUGAAUUAUCAGAAGAUCUCUUUGCUUAUUAGUAUAAUCUUGGUUAUUUGGAUUGUUCGGGUGUGAUAUGAAUAUUCUUAAUUUAAUCAUUUCUUCUUGAUUAAUCUCGAAAGAAUUAUCUUUUAUCAGGCUGACUUAGUUUACUAUUAAAAAUUUUCCCCUUAAUCAAUAAAUAAAGCUCUUGUUAAUAUUAUGAUAACUGAUUUGGAGGAUGAAUUAUUUUCUUAUCUUAAAUAAUUAUUGUUUAAACUGAUAUCUUGUAUUGUUUAAUUCAUGGGCUAACUUUACUUCCUUCAUUUAAGGAAUUUAUAAUGUUGUGAAUUGGUUUCGUC
rnacentral:lncRNA from 1 species